rnacentral:rRNA from 1 species
AUGCCGCAGGUCGACCUGGAGAGCCUGGUGUGCGGCGGCGCGGGCGCGGGAGCCGGGGACAGGAAGGUGUCGUGCGAGACGGUCAUCGCGGGCAGUGACAGCGGGGACGCCUCGCCGCCGAGGCGGAUGCCGCCGCCAGUGCCGAACCACGACUUCCCGCCGGAGUCGAUAACCAUCCGCAUCGGCGACGACGCGGCCUUCUCGGAGCUGAACCCGAUAUACGAGCGGGACGACUCCACCAAGGGCAGCACCAACCCCAAGUCGGCGGCGGCGGGCGGCGCCUGCAACCCCGUCCCGCUCAAGGCGCGCUCCAACUCCACGCGCAUCGCGGGGGCACCGGCCGCGGGGACCGCCACCUUCUUUGGCCUCCCGGCCAGGAUCCGGCCGGCCUUCACCCGGCGCCAGCCGUCGCAGGGCCGGAUCUUGCCCGACAAGCGCUCUGGCGGCACCGGCGAGGAGCCGCGGUCGCCCAAGGUGUCCUGCAUUGGGAAGGUGCUGUCCGACCGGGAGAGGUGCGGGCGGCGCCGCCAGCGCAGAUGGUGGCGCGGGGUGGCGGCCGUGUUCCGGUGCGGCGGCGGCUGCGCCUCCCGAGGAGUCGGCGGUGGCGCCGGCAAGAAGAUGGCGCUGGAGGAGAGCGAAUAUGACGAGGAGGAAAAGGAGGCGAGCGUCGCGGCAAUGCGGAAGUUCAAGUCCGGGAGGAGAGCCGCCGCGUGGGGAGAGGAGGCGCUGGCAGCGGCGGCGGCGGAGGCCUUCUCCGGCGAGCCGGCGGAGGAUGAGAAGAAGCACGAGAACCACGAGACCGAGCACUGGGCCCGAGUACCGGUAAGUUAG